CUUGGGCCUCACCCUGUCCUCGUGUCUCUGACCGUCUCCUCAGUCGGUCAGCAUCUGGUCAGGACAGCAGAGCCGUUCCUCUUCAGAUCCAUCCAUCCAUCCAUCAUCCAUCCAUCAUCCAUCCAUCCAUCAUCCAUCCAUCAUCAUGAGUGAUCAUCCUCCUCCGUAUCGUCCGUUCUUCCCUGACGAUUCGUCUCCCUCCAUGUUUCCUCCAGCUUUUUACUCACCGCCCACUGCCUUCCCCGGCUCCGCCUAUCAGACUUUCCCUCAGACCAUCGUCCAACCAGGACCCUCUGCACAGCAGGGGGCCUCGGUGAUGUCACCUGGUUACUAUGGCAACAAACACCAGGCCUCCCAUCCGGCGAAGCCCACAGUUCUGCUGAUGGAUCCUCGGACCAAUCAGCAGCCGGGCGGUAUCGGGUCGUACCUGGCCGCGUGUUCUGCUGCUCUGUGCUGCUGCUGCCUGUAUGACCUGCUGCACCGCUGACCAUCAUCACCUUCAUCAUCAUCCUCAGCAGUGACCAUGUGACCGUCCGGUCUGCUGACACCAGGAAUGUCCGACAUGUUUGGGUUUAAAACGACGUUAUUGUCAUUAAAGGUUCAGAGGAAAAUCCUGCUGUCUGAUUGGACAGCGAGCAGAAACAAACAUGGAGGAUGAUGACAUCAUCUGAAAGCGUUUUCUAACCACUCUCUGCUGGUGUCUCUUUGAUGAUUGACUAUUGAUCUUAUAUCAGAUUGGUCACAGCUGAUCUAUAAAGUGAUUGAUAGCAGAGCAUCGAGUCCUGCAGCAUCACUCCCCCUGGAUCAGCAGAGGGCGACAGUGGAGAGGAAAACUUCCUCUGGCUCAGUACCAGUGGUCACCUGCCAGUAGAAGCUAUGAUGUACAGGAUAGUGACAGUCCUCGGCUGCAGAUCUAAGCAGAUUGAUUGUUUACUUUCCUAGAACUACUCAAUGCCCCAAUGAUACACCCCUUCUUAUAGGAACAAACAUCCCAUAUUUGGGAUAGGGGUGUUCCUAUAAGAAGUAUACAAUGAAAUAAAAAGAUUUUCAUCCAUCCAUUUUCUAACACCCUUGUCCC